AGUUUGAUCCUGGCUCAGAUUGAACGCUGGCGGCGUGCCUAACACAUGCAAGUCGAUCGGUAACGCGGGGCAACCUGGCGACGAGAGGCGGACGGGUGAGCAAUAUUUGGGAAUCUACCUAUUAGUGGGGGAUAACCCGGGGAAACUCGGGCUAAUACCGCAUACGCUCUACGGAGGAAAGCCGGGGAUCGCAAGACCUGGCGCUAUUAGAUGAGCCCAAAUCGGAUUAGCUAGUUGGUGAGGUAACGGCUCACCAAGGCGACGAUCCGUAGCUGGUUUGAGAGAACGACCAGCCACACCGGAACUGAGACACGGUCCGGACUCCUACGGGAGGCAGCAGUGGGGAAUAUUGGACAAUGGGGGAAACCCUGAUCCAGCGACGCCGCGUGGGUGAAGAAGGCCUGCGGGUUGUAAAGCCCUUUCGGUUGGGAAGAACAGUAUUGACCUAACACGUCAGUACCUUGACGUAACCAACAAAAGAAGCACCGGCUAACUCUGUGCCAGCAGCCGCGGUAAUACAGAGGGUGCAAGCGUUAAUCGGAAUUACUGGGCGUAAAGCGCGCGUAGGCGGCUUGACAAGUCGAGUGUGAAAUCCCCGGGCUUAACCUGGGAGCUGCAUUCGAAACUGUCUUGCUAGAGUAUGGGAGAGGGAGGUGGAAUUUCAGGUGUAGCGGUGAAAUGCGCAGAUAUCUGAAGGAACAUCAGUGGCGAAAGCGACCUCCUGGACCAAUACUGACGCUCAGGUGCGAAAGCGUGGGGAGCAAACAGGAUUAGAUACCCUGGUAGUCCACGCCAUAAACGAUGAGAACUGGAUGUUGGGAGCAUUAGGCUCCCGGUGUCGUAGCUAACGCGUUAAGUUCUCCGCCUGGGGAGUACGGCCGCAAGGUUGAAACUCAAAGGAAUUGACGG
rnacentral:rRNA from 1 species